rnacentral:rRNA from 3 species
ACAUGCAAGUCGAGCGAAGAGAUGGGAGCUUGCUCCCUGAUCUUAGCGGCGGACGGGUGAGUAACACGUGGGCAACCUGCCCUGCAGACUGGGAUAACUCCGGGAAACCGGAGCUAAUACCGGGUAAUACAUCGCACCGCAUGGUGCAAUGUUGAAAGUUGGCUUUCUGAGCUAACACUGCAGGAUGGGCCCGCGGCGCAUUAGCUAGUUGGUAAGGUAAUGGCUUACCAAGGCGACGAUGCGUAGCCGACCUGAGAGGGUGAUCGGCCACACUGGGACUGAGACACGGCCCAGACUCCUACGGGAGGCAGCAGUAGGGAAUCUUCCGCAAUGGACGAAAGUCUGACGGAGCAACGCCGCGUGAGUGACGAAGGCCUUCGGGUCGUAAAGCUCUGUUGUUAGGGAAGAACAAGUACCGUUCGAAUAGGGCGGUACCUUGACGGUACCUAACCAGAAAGCCACGGCUAACUACGUGCCAGCAGCCGCGGUAAUACGUAGGUGGCAAGCGUUGUCCGGAAUUAUUGGGCGUAAAGCGCGCGCAGGCGG